rnacentral:lncRNA from 1 species
AGGAAAAUAAUACGGGUGACAUGACUCCACCCCCUUUACCACGUGAUUCACAACACCAGUCACGAGAAAGAACUCCAGAUAGAUCUGAGAUAAAAAUGGGGUUGCAAAUCGAAACGGAGUCGAGGCAAAUCAAAAUGCUGGAGUUGCGAACAAACAAGCACUCGAUGAUGCUCUGAAAAAUCUAAUUGCUCAACAAGUCAGUAAUGCUCUCCGUGCUUUUAUCAGCCAGUUGCUAGUUGUGCCACCAACACCAACUCCGAAUCAAAAUACUUUGGAAAACCCACGUUCUGGGCUCGUUCAUUCAGGCGCAAGUGGAACUCCGAGCGAGUCCCGUGAUGGCGAUCCAUGUAACAUAGUUAAUUUUGAUUUACAAAACUUCGUUCUAACCCUGCAGAAGUAGCUUAAGGAACAAAGCGAUCGCAUAAAGCAAAUACUUGGAGUACCACAUGUAAUCAAAUGAAUAGGCAUGGAUAAAUACUCUCAACAACCAUGGAAGCCUAGUGCUGCUCCGGUACCAAUUCAGAAGAAGUUUAAGAUUCCUGAUAUUCCAAAGUAUGAUGACAUAACUGAUCCACGAGACCACGAGACUGCAUUCGCAACUGGUGUGAAAGGCAACAAUUUAACAAAACAAGCAAUCAAAUCAGUAUUGGUCAAGAAAUUUGGUGAAACACUUACCAAGGGAGCAUUAACAUAGUAUUCUAUAUUACCUGGAAAUUUUAUAAAUUCUUUUGAUGAGCUUGCAGAUUCAUUUAUCAAAGCGCAUUCGGGAACUCAAAAAGUCAAAAAAGAAUGGAAGAUAUUUUCAAAAUCAAGCAAGGAGAUUCAGAGUUGUUUAGUGAGUUCUUAGAUAGAUUCCAGCAUGAAAGAAUGACAGUACCACGCGUACUUGAUAACUAGGCAGCUAUAGAUUUUACCAGUAAUUUGAAUAAGAAAAGCUCAGAAGCCACGAGACGAAUCAAGGAAAGUUUGCGUGAAUUUCCAGCAACAACAUGGAAUGACGUUUACAACAGAUAUUGCACGAACCUACGGAUAGAAGAAGAUAUUAU